AGCAGCCGCGGUAAUUCCAGCUCCAAUAACGUAUAUUAAAGUUGUUGCAGUUAAAAAGCUCGUAGUUGAAUUUCGGGGUCAGUAGGUUGGUCAUGCCUCCGGUAUGUACUGGUCUCACUGAUUCCUCCUUCCUGAUGAGCCGUAAUGCCAUUAAUUUGGUGUUGCGGGGAAUCUGGACUGUUACUUUGAAAAAAUUGAGUGUUUAAAGCAAGCUAACGCUUGAAUACAUUAGCAUGGAAUAAUGGAAUAGGACGUUCGAUCCUAUUUUGUUGGUUUCUAGGAUUGACGUAAUGAUUAAUAGGGAUAGUUGGGGGCAUUAGUAUUCAAUUGUCAGAGGUGAAAUUCUUGGAUUUAUGAAGACUAACUACUGCGAAAGCAUUUGCCAAGGAUGUUUUCAUUAAUCAAGAACGAAAGGUUAGGGAUCGAAGACGAUCAGAUACCGUCGUAGUCUUAACCAUAAACUAUAGCCGACUAGGGAUCGGGAUGAUUAGUUUAAUUUUUUAUGUACUCUAUUCGGCGU
rnacentral:rRNA from 1 species